rnacentral:tRNA from 1 species
GGCCUCGUAGCGCAGUUGGUAGAGCGUGCGCCGUCCAUGUGUGGGUUUGAAUCCCAUUGAGGCUA